NCAUCCAUGUUAGUUGUUUCUCCCGUUUCUGAGAAACCAUUGCAGAUUUCUCCAUACUAAUAAUUUUUCUCCUUUGUCUAGCAAUAGUAGUAUCCCUUUCAUCCAAAUUUUCUUCAUUGCGCCAUUUAAAAUAAUUGCAUCCUUGAAGUUCUUCGUUUCGAGUACGCUGUUCAAAACAUCCAACCACAACCAUUUCAUUACUCAAAAAAUAAAAGUAAUCACAAAAAUUAAAGUACAACCAUUGAACAAACCUUGUAAUUAGGGCAUCCCCAAAACUGUUUGCCGUCGUUCUUCACCGUUUUAGCCACUCUCAACACAGCAACCUCCCCACAAUGACAAAUGUUGGUUUCAACCAAUCCUCUGGAUGAAACAGCACGAGAGCUCCCCCAUGAGCAAGACGAACAACACUGAUGAUUCAAUGNCAUUGCCACUUCCUAAGCCAACGCCAAAAGGACACAACCUCACAACAAUACUUUCUCACAGAAGAAAGAAGAAAACAAAGAACAAGUAUAGCAACAACAGUAAACGCACCAAGCUCAGCAAACCCUAACCAAGACGAACACAUUCAUNAAGCGCGCAUCUGCUUUCGAAAGCCCGAUUACGAUUUUUCACUCUUCGUCAACUCACACUUUGUCCUCUAUCUUGAUUGNGAUUUUUCACUCUUCGAAAGCCCUAAUUUAAUUUAGUUNUGUGAGUUAAAAACCCCAAAAUCAUUUAUUAAUUAAAUUUCCCCAAUUGUAUCUAAAUAAUUGACAUGGCCGACACGUUGCAAUUCUCUGCUGCCAAAUCAUCACUCACUUAACACUGUAAGUCUGCAAUUAACGGAGAGGACCUAAUUGACACACAUUUUUCUAUU
rnacentral:lncRNA from 1 species